rfam:Oryza barthii chromosome 5, whole genome shotgun sequence.
AAAAAGAUAAACUGUGGGUUCCCGUGUCAACGUUUGAUUGUCCGUCUUAUAUAAAUUUUUUUUUAUAAUUAGUAUUUUUAUUGUUGAUAGAUGAUAAAACAUGAUUAAUACUUUAUGCGUGACUUGUCUUUUUAAUUUUUUUCAUAAUUUUUUCAAAUAAGACGGACGGUCAAACGUUAGAGAUGGAAACCAGGGUCCGUCUUUUU